ensembl:misc_RNA Y_RNA Y RNA
GGCUGGUCCAAGUGCAGGGGUGUUUACAACUAAUUGAUCACAACCAGUUACGAUUCCUUUGUUCCUUCUCCACUCCCAUUGCUUCACUUGACCAGCCUUUA